UGUGUUCAAUAGUUUAUCUACCUAACGCUAAUCACUAUCUCGCUCCAUGUGCUACAGAUUUUGUUUAUAUCAAACAAAUUAAUAGUCUCUGAUCAGAAAAUUAUAAUCAAGAAGCAUCCCAAUCUUCCUCUACCAUUCUAUUCAGAUAGAACAUUCAAGAUCCUUCAGGUUACCAACAACAACCAUUUAAAGCUUUCAUUUUGAUGAUUUUUUUUUGUUAUAGAAUAUGUGGACACAAGGCUUCGAAACUGUUGAAGAGAUACUCAAUUUGAUUUUUAGAUUGGAGACAUCAAAGCGGAUUUCAAAUCUAUUCGGACAUCAAGGAUUUCUGCAAGUCAUUUUGAAGACGAUUGACGCCAUGGAAUCGUCCCCUGAAUCAUAUAAAAGGAAAGAAGCCUACAUGCUAAUGUUCUUACUGAUGAUGAUAUUCUUUAUAUGGUAUGUUAUUCUUUGUUUACUAGUAUAAGCAUGCCCACAUUAGUUCAAUUUUACAUUUUAUUACCUGUAGUUUAUGAUGGUCUCACUAUUCAUGCGUUUACGCAAACAUAUGAAGAGUACCUCGCAGCCCAUGGCAGAGGCAACCGAAUUUCACAUCAAUCGGCCAAUAAGCUUCUUUAAGUUAUUUUUGUUUCACGUUGGCCAUAAACUUCUUUAAGUUCUUAUUUAUUUCAUAUAUCAUUUUCACAUUAUAUCAAUCUAUAACAUGUCUUGAACAGGUGAUUGAGUCUUCCCAAAAGAGUCGGGAUUCAUCUGUUAGCAAAGCGAACGAUGUUGACUCGCAAGCAUCCUACUUUUUACUUCCAAAAACAUAUAGUUUACUACAAUUAUGCAAUAACUUUGUUUCUUUUCUUUAAAAAAAACUGUUACAGUUAUUCACGAUACUGCUUAAAGGAGAGGGCUCGCCAUCUUCAUGGUCAUGAUGAUCAUCAUAGUCGUCGUGAUCGUCAUAGUUAUCAUCACAAUUCCUCUCCUCAAUGAGAGUAUGAUGAAGUUAGAUUCCAUUUAUUCAUUGAUUGGUGGGCAGUGAAGUUAUGUGAGAAAGGAAGAUGGUACAGAUAACCGUCUAGGACCAACCAAACCGUGUGCGUAUUUAUAUUUUGGAAAGUGGAUUGCCACUAUUCUUUGAUGUUAAUAGCAGUGGCACAACCGUAUAAUCAAUAGGGGAGUACGUAAUCAGAAAGAGCGGGAAGCCUCUUCACUACAAGGGAAGUGCAUUCUACAAGAUUAUUCCCAGCUUCAUGAUUCAUAUUGGUGAUUUUACCCUUGGAGAUGGGAGCAGGGGUGUUUUUCUUAUGUUUGGCUAACUAAAAGCGACACAUCAUAUUCCAGUAUUUUCAUUAAGUUUCUCUUGCAUGAGUUAGCUGAACAUCUUACCCUCCUUCGAUGAUGACCCCCGUUCCAAAUGCUAACAAAUGGGUUUGAUAAACUUCGUAUUUGUAGAUUUAUAUUAAUUAUUAUACUUAUUAACUUUUCAUUAACGAAAAUUUUAAUCUUAGCAUAUAUUUGUAUUCUGCUUACAAAGAGCAACUUUCUAAUUAGAUCAUGUAUUUAUAACUGUCCUUGAACAUAUUGCUUUGAUAUAACAUGUAUUUAAUUUUAAAAUAUUUCAUUUUUAUCAUAUGUAUAUAAGUAUUUUUUAGAGUAAAUUACGAUUUUGGCCCCUGUGGUUAUAUCACUUUUACCCUUUUAGCCCCAAAAAGAAUUUUUUUUAACAUCGGUUACCCCCCAAACGUCUUUUUUUCUAACCUUUCUGGCCCCUAACGCAUGAUUUAUCAUCAUUGGAUUUGAAAACGUAAGUUAGUUUUUUCUUUACCUUUAUGUAUUCACAUGAAAUUGAGGAUUACUCUCAUUAAUGUACUAUGUUAGGUAGUUUAUUACAGUUACUUUUUUAUGACUGUAUUAAGCUUACAAGUCAACAAGCUUUCGUAUACAACAGGAGUUCAGAGAUGACUUAAGCGUUACGUCUACAGGUGGAAGUUCAAAAAAGACUACACGAGCAACUUGAGAUUCAAAAGAAUCUACAGAUGAGAAUAGAAGAACAAGGGAGAUACCUCCAGAUGAUAUUUGAGAAGCAAUGCAAGUUUGGCAUCGAUGCAUUCCAACCCGCUUCAUCCACCCUAGAGAAAUCAGAAACCGAGUUGACGAAUGAGAUCUUGAGUUCUCUAGCCCGAACCAAAAUAGAGCCCGGCCCGAUAAAAGCUAUGUCACCAUCAUCAGAGAAGCAAGAGGAAGAACAUGAACCCUCGGAAUCACAACCCUCAAAAUGCGCUAAAUUAAACGAGUCGUCAUCAACUGAAUCGUCAUAAGAAACGUAACCAUAAAUGCACCUGUAGAUGUUCCGGAACAUAGAUCGCGUACCAAUAACAAUUUUGACCUACGACACAACAUGACCAAUUCACUACAUCUAUAUACUACAUCUUCAAUCAUAUUUGAAAACA